AACGAACGCUGGCGGCAUGCCUAACACAUGCAAGUCGAACGAGACCUUCGGGUCUAGUGGCGCACGGGUGCGUAACGCGUGGGAAUCUGCCCUUGGGUUCGGAAUAACAGUUGGAAACGACUGCUAAUACCGGAUGAUGACGUAAGUCCAAAGAUUUAUCGCCCAAGGAUGAGCCCGCGUAGGAUUAGCUAGUUGGUGAGGUAAAGGCUCACCAAGGCGACGAUCCUUAGCUGGUCUGAGAGGAUGAUCAGCCACACUGGGACUGAGACACGGCCCAGACUCCUACGGGAGGCAGCAGUGGGGAAUAUUGGACAAUGGGCGAAAGCCUGAUCCAGCACUGCCGCGUGAGUGAUGAAGGCCUUAGGGUUGUAAAGCUCUUUUACCCGGGAUGAUAAUGACAGUACCGGGAGAAUAAGCUCCGGCUAACUCCGUG
rnacentral:rRNA from 1 species